UACAGAGGGGGCAAGCGUUGUUCGGAAUUACUGGGCGUAAAGGGCGCGUAGGCGGCCUGCUAAGUCGAACGUGAAAUCCCCGGGCUCAACCCGGGAACUGCGUCCGAUACUGGCAGGCUUGAAUCCGGGAGAGGGAUGUGGAAUUCCAGGUGUAGCGGUGAAAUGCGUAGAUAUCAGGAAGAACACCCGUGGCGAAGGCGGCUCUCUGGGACGGUACUGACGCUGAGACGCGAAAGCGUGGGGAGCGAACAGG
rnacentral:rRNA from 1 species